rnacentral:rRNA from 1 species
GAUGAACGCUGGCGGCGUGCCUAAUACAUGCAAGUCGAGCGAACAGACGAGGAGCUUGCUCCUCUGACGUUAGCGGCGGACGGGUGAGUAACACGUGGAUAACCUACCUAUAAGACUGGGAUAACUUCGGGAAACCGGAGCUAAUACCGGAUAAUAUAUUGAACCGCAUGGUUCGAUAGUGAAAGACGGUUUUGCUGUCACUUAUAGAUGGAUCCGCGCCGCAUUAGCUAGUUGGUAAGGUAACGGCUUACCAAGGCAACGAUGCGUAGCCGACCUGAGAGGGUGAUCGGCCACACUGGAACUGAGACACGGUCCUGACUCCUACGGGAGGCAGCAGUAGGGAGUCUUCCGCAAUGGGCGAAAGCCUGACGGAGCAACGCCGCGUGAGUGAUGAAGGUCUUCGGAUCGUAAAACUCUGCUAUUAGGGAAGAACAAAUGUGUAAGUAACUAUGCACGUCUUGACGGUACCUAAUCAGAAAGCCACGGCUAACUACGUG